GUGUAAGGACCGGCAGCUACCAUGCAAGUCGAACGGUAGCAGCGCAAGCAGCUUGCUUUUUUGCUGACGAGUGGCGGACGGGUGAGUAAUGUCUGGGAAACUGCCUGAUGGAGGGGGAUAACUACUGGAAACGGUAGCUAAUACCGCAUAACGUCGCAAGACCAAAGAGGGGGACCUUCGGGCCUCUUGCCAUCGGAUGUGCCCAGAUGGGAUUAGCUAGUAGGUGGGGUAACGGCUCACCUAGGCGACGAUCCCUAGCUGGUCUGAGAGGAUGACCAGCCACACUGGAACUGAGACACGGUCCAGACUCCUACGGGAGGCAGCAGUGGGGAAUAUUGCACAAUGGGCGCAAGCCUGAUGCAGCCAUGCCGCGUGUAUGAAGAAGGCCUUCGGGUUGUAAAGUACUUUCAGCGGGGAGGAAGGGAGUAAAGUUAAUACCUUUGCUCAUUGACGUUACCCGCAGAAGAAGCACCGGCUAACUCCGUGCCAGCAGCCGCGGUAAUACGGAGGGUGCAAGCGUUAAUCGGAAUUACUGGGCGUAAAGCGCACGCAGGCGGUUUGUUAAGUCAGAUGUGAAAUCCCCGGGCUCAACCUGGGAACUGCAUCUGAUACUGGCAAGCUUGAGUCUCGUAGAGGGGGGUAGAAUUCCAGGUGUAGCGGUGAAAUGCGUAGAGAUCUGGAGGAAUACCGGUGGCGAAGGCGGCCCCCUGGACGAAGACUGACGCUCAGGUGCGAAAGCGUGGGGGAGCAAACAGGAUUAGAUACCCUGGUAGUCCACGCCGUAAACGAUGUCGACUUGGAGGUUGUGCCCUUGAGGCGUGGCUUCCGGAGCUAACGCGUUAAGUCGACCGCCUGGGGAGUACGGCCGCAAGGUUAAAACUCAAAUGAAUUGACGGGGGCCCGCACAAGCGGUGGAGCAUGUGGUUUAAUUCGAUGCAACGCGAAGAACCUUACCUGGUCUUGACAUCCACGGAAGUUUCCAGAGAUGGAAAGGUGCCUUCGGGAACCGUGAGACAGGUGCUGCAUGGCUGUCGUCAGCUCGUGUUGUGAAAUGUUGGGUUAAGUCCCGCAACGAGCGCAACCCUUAUCCUUUGUUGCCAGCGGUCCGGCCGGGAACUCAAAGGAGACUGCCAGUGAUAAACUGGAGGAAGGUGGGGAUGACGUCAAGUCAUCAUGGCCCUUACGACCAGGGCUACACACGUGCUACAAUGGCGCAUACAAAGAGAAGCGACCUCGCGAGAGCAAGCGGACCUCAUAAAGUGCGUCGUAGUCCGGAUUGGAGUCUGCAACUCGACUCCAUGAAGUCGGAAUCGCUAGUAAUCGUGGAUCAGAAUGCCACGGUGAAUACGUUCCCGGGCCUUGUACACACCGCCCGUCACACCAUGGGAGUGGGUUGCAAAAGAAGUAGGUAGCUUAACCUUCGGGAGGGCGCUUACCACUUGAUCGUUGCA
rnacentral:rRNA from 1 species